CCUACGGGAGGCAGCAGUGAGGAAUAUUGGUCAAUGGCCGAGAGGCUGAACCAGCCAAGUCGCGUGAGGGAAGAAUGUCCUAUGGAUUGUAAACCUCUUUUGUCAGGGAGCAAAGUCACCCACGUGUGGGUGUUGCAGAGUACCUGAAGAAAAAGCAUCGGCUAACUACUUGCCAGCAGCCGCGGUAAUACGGAGGAUGCGAGCGUUAUCCGGAGGUAGUGGGUUUAAAGGGUGCGUAGGCGGGUUAUCAAGUCAGCGGUAAAAGCGUGGAGCUCAACUCCAUCCAGCCGUUGAAACUGAUGAUCUUGAGUGGGCGAGAAGUAUGCGGAAUGCGUGGUGUAGCGGUGAAAUGCAUAGAUAUCACGCAGAACUCCGAUGGCGAAGGCAGCAUACCGGCGCCCGACUGACGCUGAAGCACGAAAGCGUGGGUAGCGAACAGGAUUAGAUACCCGGGUAGUC
rnacentral:rRNA from 1 species